CAUGGUUUUUUGUUUAUAUAAAAGAUCUGGCCUGCUCAGUGAAUUUUAAAUAGCUGCAGUAUUUUGACUGUACAAAGGUAGCAUAAUCACUUGUCCUUUAAUUGAGGUCUGGAAUGAAUGGUUUGAUGAAAAAUAUACUUUAUUUAUUUUUAAUAAAAAAUUUAAUUUUUGGGUUAAAAAGCUUUAAAAUUUGUUUAUAGGACGAGAAGACCCUAUAGAGCUUUAUUUAUUUAUUUUUAUAUUUUUUUGGAUUAUAUAUUUUUAAUAUAAAUAUAUAAAUUUUGUUGGGGUGACAAAAAAAAUAUUAUAACUUUUUUUAAUUUUUACAUUUGUGAAUGUAUUUUUGAUCCUUUGUUUUGGAAAAAAGAAUAAGUUACCUUAGGGAUAACAGCGUUAUUAUUUCGGAGAGUCCAUAUUGAUGAAAUAGUUUGCGACCUCGAUGUUGGAUUAAAAUAAGAUAUAGAAGUAGAAUGUUAUAUUCUUGGUCUGUUCGACCUUUAAAUUUUUACAUG
rnacentral:rRNA from 1 species